ACCCGCUGAACUUAAGCAUAUCAAUAAGCGGAGGAAAAGAAACCAACAGGGAUUGCCUUAGUAACGGCGAGUGAAGCGGCAAUAGCUCAAAUUUGAAAUCUGGUCCUUUCAGGGCUCGAGUUGUAAUUUGUAGAGGAUGCUUUGGUGUUGACCCCGGUCUAAGUUCCUUGGAACAGGACGUCAUAGAGGGUGAGAACCCCGUAUGUGACCGGUGGCCUUCCCCGUGUAAAGCUCCUUCGACGAGUCGAGUUGUUUGGGAAUGCAGCUCUAAAUGGGAGGUAUAUUUCUUCUAAAGCUAAAUACCGGCCAGAGACCGAUAGCGCACAAGUAGAGUGAUCGAAAGAUGAAAAGCACUUUGGAAAGAGAGUCAAACAGUACGUGAAAUUGUUGAAAGGGAAGCGCUUGCGACCAGACUUGCCCGCGGUUGUUCAACAGGUCCUUGGGCCUGUGCACUCUUCCGCGGUCAGGCCAGCAUCAGCUUGGGCGGUCGGAUAAAGGCUGCGGGAAUGUAGCUCCCUUCGGGGAGUGUUAUAGCCCGUGGUGUAAUGCGACCAGUCCAGGCUGAGGCCCGCGCUUCGGCUAGGAUGCUGGCGUAAUGGUCGU
rnacentral:rRNA from 1 species